rnacentral:misc_RNA from 1 species
AAGUCGUAACAAGGUUUCCGUAGGUGAACCUGCGGAAGGAUCAUUUUUGAGCGAGCCUUCAUGGCGAGCAUUUAAUAUCCAUAACACUGUGAACUGUUUGAUUCCCUUUUUUGGGAUCAUAUAUUUUUUACAAACUCUUGUGUAAUGAACGUAAAAUACUAUAAUCAAUAAAACUUUCAACAACGGAUCUCUUGGCUCUC